rnacentral:rRNA from 1 species
AACGAACGCUGGCGGCGUGCCUAACACAUGCAAGUCGAGCGGGAAAGUUCCCUUCGGGGAGCGAGUACAGCGGCGAACGGGUGAGUAACACGUAGGUAACCUACCCUUGAGACUGGGAUAACCUGCCGAAAGGCGGGCUAAUACUGGAUAAGACCGUGAGGGCUGCGGCCCUUGGGGUAAAAGGUAGGCCUCUGCUUGCAAGCUACCACUUGAGGAUGGGCCUGCGCGCCAUUAGCUAGUU